AUUGAACGCUGGCGGCAGGCUUAACACAUGCAAGUCGAGCGGAGCGAGGGUGCUUGCACCUUAGCUUAGCGGCGGACGGGUGAGUAAUGCUUAGGAAUCUGCCUAUUAGUGGGGGACAACAUUCCGAAAGGAAUGCUAAUACCGCAUACGCCCUACGGGGGGAAGCAGGGGAUCUUCGGACCUUGCGCUAAUAGAUGAGCCUAAGUCGGAUUAGCUAGUUGGUGGGGUAAAGGCCUACCAAGGCGACGAUCUGUAGCGGGUCUGAGAGGAUGAUCCGCCACACUGGGACUGAGACACGGCCCAGACUCCUACGGGAGGCAGCAGUGGGGAAUAUUGGACAAUGGGCGGAAGCCUGAUCCAGCCAUGCCGCGUGUGUGAAGAAGGCCUUUUGGUUGUAAACUGCUUUUGUACGGAACGAAAAAGCUCUUACUAAUACUAGGAGUCCAUGACGGUACCGUAAGAAUAAGCACCGGCUAACUACGUGCCAGCCGCCGCAGUAA
rnacentral:rRNA from 1 species